ACUGGCGGCGUGCCUAACACAUGCAAGUCGAACGGACUUUAAGCGCUGCAGAGAUUUCGGUCGAAGCUGUUAAAGUUAGUGGCGGACGGGUGAGUAACGCGUGGGCAACCUGCCUCAUACUGGGGGAUAGCAGUUGGAAACGACUGAUAAUACCGCAUAAGCGCACAGCAUCGCAUGAUGCAGUGUGAAAAACUCUGGUGGUAUGAGAUGGGCCCGCGUCAGAUUAGCUAGUUGGUAAGGUAACGGCUUACCAAGGCGACGAUCUGUAGCCGGACUGAGAGGUCGGACGGCCACAUUGGGACUGAGACACGGCCCAAACUCCUACGGGAGGCAGCAGUGGGGGAUAUUGCACAAUGGAGGAAACUCUGAUGCAGCGACGCCGCGUGAGUGAAGAAGUAUUUCGGUAUGUAAAGCUCUAUCAGCAGGGAAGAAAGACUCGCAAGAGAGAUGACGGUACCUGACUAAGAAGCCCCGGCUAACUACGUGCCAGCCGCAGC
rnacentral:rRNA from 1 species